rnacentral:lncRNA from 1 species
UUUGACAAGGGGCCUACGUCUAAAUAUAUAAAGAAUUCUUAAAUCAAUAAUUUAAAAAUUACCAAUUUUUUAAAUGGACAAAAGAUUUGAACAGACUCACCAGAAAAGAUAUAUUGAUUACAAAUAAGCAUAUGAAUCCUAACACUCUACUAUGAUCGAUUUUCUCAGGCUAUGUGCAAAUAUAGAACCGUAAUUUUUUUUUAAAUCUAAAGAAAAAAUUCAGUACCAAUGGAUUGUUCUUCCUUAUUUUUACCUUUGAGCUAAGCUAUCCUUACAGAUUUAAACUCUUAUCUUCUCUCCCAUUAUCCUUAUCUCUCCCUUUCCUUUUUCUACCAUCCACAGCCACAAAAGCAAACCCUAUACCUCCUACUUAGGCCUUUCCAGAGCCAGCUCAUUUCCCAUAUAAACUAAGACCUGGAUCUGAUACACAGUUUUGGAAACUCAUAUAGAAUGAUGAGAAAGAGGCAGUUAUUGCUAGAAGUAAGAAGGCUAGGAUUCAGCACUCACUGGUGUCUCAGAAAUCUUACAGCAAUUAACAAAAAUGUUCUCAGAGGAUGGGAGACAACAGGAGAGAAGAUAGGAAAUAAAAUAGAGAAUUUUUGAGAUUUGUUUAAACCAAAUGUUUCACACAGGAUGCAAAAUGUUGGCACGUCAUAAAAAUAGAUGUGUAAACAAUGGUAGCUGUGCUGUUUGUAGUGAGGGGAAAUUUUUUAUUUUGAUCAAAUAAAUAAUGCUGGAAUAUUCAAUAUAAAAAAAACAAAAAAAACCAAAUAAGCAUAUGAAAAGAUGCUAAACAUAGCAGUCUUUGGGGAAACACAAAAUAAAACCACAGUGAGAUACCACUAC